GGGCGUGGCCCCGCGGGCGCUGGACGCCGCUGCCUUUUAGGACAAGGAGCGGGUGCAGGACCCCGGCGUCCUGCCC
ensembl:miRNA